rnacentral:lncRNA from 1 species
AAAUAAUAAUUUUAAAUUAUCCAUCUCCUCUCCAGCUCUCUACCUCCACAAGCAGAAACCAAAACUCCACCACAUAAACACCACCGCCAGCAUUUCUCUUGCAAACCACAACCAGUCAUUGCCGCCAGCGCCGGUGGGCUGCUACUUCCUCCAACUCUCCACCUCUGGCCCUCUCUAUCUAUCUUCUACAUUCCACACUCUAAAGCACGCAAAAACUCAAGGCUAGGGUUUUUUUUUCGUUUUUUUCUCAAAUUAAAAUUGGGCAAUUCCUCAUUUGAUGAUUUAAUUUGAUUUUUAUUUUUUUUUAAAUAGGAAUGAUUAUUGCUUAGAUUUUAUGUUUCUCCAUACUAAUUGUGUGAAAGUAAAAUGAAAUUGAAUAUUCAUUAACUUGUG